rfam:Heterocephalus glaber contig43783, whole genome shotgun sequence.
GGAGGUGAGGACAGUCUCACCGCACUGUCCUUCACCCACUGAUUUCCAGGGUUGAUCUGUCUGAUCUGGCUACCUAGGUGGGUUUCCCCUUCCUGCCGCACUGCCCCGUGUGCAUCCCUCCUGAAACUGCAUGCUUGGUCGAAGAGGACGAACUUCUCUGAUCGAGGCGGAUCAUUUCCUCAGUCAAGGGUAGAGGAGUAGCUGUGCUCCAAUGCUAGAACCUCCAAACAAGCUCUCAAAAGGCACCCUGUUACUUCAUGUGCUUGGAUGAAAGCACAGACAUAAAUAAUCAUACAAGGCUAGCUGUAAUUUUGCAUUUUUCU